rnacentral:rRNA from 1 species
AGAGAGAGACAUGCGUGCAUAUCAAUAAGCGGAGGAAAAGAAACUAACAAGGAUUCCCCUAGUAACGGCGAGUGAAGCGGGAAGAGCUCAAAUUUGAAAUCUUAAAGGGUUUCCCUUUACGAAUUGUAGUUUAAAGAAGUGUUUUCUGUUGAGGUUUUGGUAAAGUUCUUUGGAAUAGGACAUCAUAGAGGGUGAGGAAUCCCGUAUUUGACCUUUACUUUCAACUUUGUGAUACACUUUCAAAGAGUCGGAUUGUUUGGGAAUGCAGUCCAAAAUGGGUGGUAAAUUUCAUCUAAAGCUAAAUAUUGGCGAGAGACCGAUAGCGAACAAGUACCGUGAGGGAAAGAUGAAAAGAACUUUGAAAAGAGAGUUAAACAGUACGUGAAAUUGUCAAAAGGGAAGCGUUUGACACCAGUGUUGUUUUUCUGAAAAUCAAUUAAAGAACUGUUUAUGCUAAGUUGUUUAGACUUUAUCAGCUAACUGUUUAGUUUUGAGCUUUUCUUUAAUGCACUUUUCAGUUAACAAGUCAACAUCAAUUUCUUUUGCUGUAAAAAAGCUUGAGGAAGGUGGCUUGAGAUUCGUCUUAAGUGUUUAUAGCCUCUUGCCUAUGCAGUCGGAGAGAUUGAGGUCUGCAGCGUAGAUCCUUCGGGGCUAAAUGCAUUUGUGCUAAGUUAUAGCAUUUUAUAGACAACUUGUUGACUAUGAUUUGUCUUGUAGCUUACUCGCUUAUGUUAUUUUACCUACGCUUAGGAUGUUGAGCGCAUGUCUCUCUCU